rnacentral:rRNA from 1 species
GACGAACGCUGGCGGCGUGCUUAACACAUGCAAGUCGAACGUGAUUUUUGUGGAAAUUCUUUCGGGAAUGGAAAUGAAAUGAAAGUGGCGAACGGGUGAGUAACACGUGAGCAACCUACCUUACACAGGGGGAUAGCCGUUGGAAACGACGAUUAAUACCGCAUGAGACCACAGAAUCGCAUGAUAUAGGGGUCAAAGAUUUAUCGGUGUAAGAAGGGCUCGCGUCUGAUUAGCUAGUUGGAAGGGUAAAGGCCUACCAAGGCGACGAUCAGUAGCCGGUCUGAGAGGAUGAACGGCCACAUUGGAACUGAGACACGGUCCAAACUCCUACGGGAGGCAGCAGUGGGGAAUAUUGCACAAUGGGGGGAACCCUGAUGCAGCGACGCCGCGGGAGCGAAGAAGGUUUUCGAAUCGUAAAGCUCUGUCCUAGGAGAAGAUAAUGACGGUAUCAUAGGAGGAAGCCCCGGCUAAAUACGU